rnacentral:rRNA from 1 species
UACGAAGGGUGCAAGCGUUACUCGGAAUUACUGGGCGUAAAGCGUGCGUAGGUGGUCUGUUAAGUCUGAUGUGAAAGCCCUGGGCUCAACCUGGGAAUUGCAUUGGAUACUGGCAGGCUAGAGUGCGGUAGAGGAUGGCGGAAUUCCCGGUGUAGCAGUGAAAUGCGUAGAGAUCGGGAGGAACAUCUGUGGCGAAGGCGGCCAUCUG